rnacentral:rRNA from 1 species
CCUACGGGAGGCAGCAGUGGGGAAUUUUGGACAAUGGGCGCAAGCCUGAUCCAGCAAUGCCGCGUGAGUGAAGAAGGCCUUCGGGUUGUAAAGCUCUUUCAGUUGGGAAGAAACGAUUACAACUAAUAAUUGUAAUUAAUGACGGUACCGACAGAAGAAGCACCGGCUAACUACGUGCCAGCAGCCGCGGUAAUA